rnacentral:rRNA from 1 species
AGUGAACGCUGGCGGCAGGCCUAACACAUGCAAGUCGAACGGCAGCACAGUAAGCGCUUGCUCUUACGGUUGGCGAGUGGCGGACGGGUGAGGAAUACAUCGGAAUCUACUUUUUCGUGGGGGAUAACGUAGGGAAACUUACGCUACUACCGCAUACGAUCUACGGGUGAAAGCAGUGGAUAUUCGGACCUUGCGCGUUUGAAUGAGCCGAUGUCGGAUUAGCUAGUUGGCGGGGUAAGGGCCCACCAAGGCAACGAUGCGUAGCCGAUCUGAGAGGAUAAUCAGCCACACUGGAACUGAGACACGGUCCAGACUCCUACGGGAGGCAGCAGUGGGGAAUAUUGCGCAAUGGGCGAAAGCCUGACCCAGCAACACCGCGUGAGUGAAGAAGGCCUUCGGGUCGUAAAGCCCUUUUAUUAGGAAAGAAAAGCAGUGGAAGAAUCUCUGGACGUCCUGACGGUACCUAAAGAAAAAGCACCGGCUAACUACGUG